rnacentral:lncRNA from 8 species
UGAACUUUCAAUAUUAAUUUCCAAUGGUAUUGUACUUUAAAUCAGUAAAAAAAAAAAAAUAUUUUGAUGAUAUACCAGAAAUCACCAAAACGGGUUUGCCCUGCCUUCAGCUAAGUUGGCUCUGGUUCAGGGCACCUUGACCCAGAGCUAGUCUACAGAUAACUUAUCAUAGCGGAAUGGAAUUUGGAAUUUUGCAACUUUCAACUCAAUUGCAUAGUUGAACCUCCAACAGUACUUUUCCAGUCUCCCUCUGCUAACUGUGGAGCUAACAGCUUUUUGUUCCACACCGGCACUAAGACACCUGCUCCAAAGAAUUAACUCAUCAUGGUCCUAGGAAACAGUCCCGCAGAUACAGCGUCUCAACUUGGAUCAUUAAAUAUGAUUGGCCUCAAGUACAACAUGUCUCUACCCAUGGCUGCAGGGGCCUUGUUAGUGGGCAUCCCCUACUCCAUCUCUCUCGUAGCCCAGUGGAUGUAUGGCUGGCCUAACAAGCCAGGCUAUAAAAAGUACAUCGAGGCUCUGAAGCCAAGGCGGAUAUACUGUCUGACUAGAGCUGUGCUGGAGAUGCUGAAAUACUUCCAGUACGGCAAACUCUACUUCCAGUGGAAGUCCUGGUACAAGAAUGUAGAAAACCACAAGCAUUAUGAAAAGGGCAUCAGGUUUGGGCGUCGUAGCAACAAGCUGGAUUUGUAUUAUUCUCCCACGGUGGGCCAGCCAGGCAGUGGACCGGUGCCUGUGGUAGUGUUUAUAUACGGGGGAGCCUGGGGUUCAGGGGAGAGGUCCAUAUACUGUCUACUGGCCAUGCAGAUGGCUAAGGAGCUCAGGGCAACGGUGAUCUGCCCCGACUAUUGCACCUAUCCAAAGGGUAAUGUUUUGUGUAUGGUUCAAGAUAUUGCGGACUGUCUCAUUUGGGCGAGGGACAGCGGCCAUAAAUUCAACUUUGACAAAGAUAACAUUGUGUUAAUCGGCCACUCCGCUGGGGCUCACCUAGCAGCUCUAACCGUCCUGUUCAUGGUCGAGGGACGAGACGAGCUCUUUAUAGAUGCCAAGAAGCAGACAGAGAUCACCAUGGCAAUCAGAGGAGUUACAGGUUUGAGUGGAGUGUACAACAUCAUGGACCACUACGAACAUGAACAGAUGAGAGCUGUGGAGUAUGUCUCUACGAUGCACAAAGCCAUGAACGGAGUGGAGAACUUCCCUUAUUACUCACCAACACACCUACUGAAGAAAUUCAGCAAGGCACAACUGAAAAGAGUGCCACCUUUCUGCUUGCUUCACGGGACCAACGACAUCAUAGUUCCGAUGGAAUCUUCCCAGAGGUUUUCUGAGCUGCUCACGUCCCUGUCAAUCAAGGUGUCCCUGUACCUCAUGCCUAAAAUGGACCACACAGAGAUAGUCACCGAUCUCAUGACGACAGACAGGCACUUCUACAAAACAGUGUACAGCUGCAUCAAACAGGAGUACAGCAAGUUCAUAGGCCAGGUCUGUGACUGCUGA